UGAGCUGAUACAGUUUCCAGGUCUGUGUAAUAGAAAAAAUACUCUCUGGAUAUUUUCCUUUUGAACAUUUUUCUAUAUUAAGCUUCCAUAGGCUGCAACAUAUUUGCCCACUCACGUUAUUUAGUUGAGAAGUUUUGAAAUAGAACGAAAUUUGCAUAGAUAUUUCCUCAGCAGCACUUUGAAGUGCUAUGUCUGGGAUCACUGGUGAAAUCCCUGGAAGUCUGCACACUGCCAACACAAAUAGCAGCUAUAUUUAAGGACGGAGGAUUAUCCACUCCUUCACAGGGCCAUGCUACAUACCAGGCUCUGCUGUCAGUCCCUAGCAGCCAUUCUGUUUGAAGCUCAGACCAGCACAAAUAAUACAGAUGGACUUUUCUCCCGGAGAAAAAAAGCUUCAAAAGGACCUUCAGAAGGACCUGCAAUGACUGGGGAAAACCUGUGAUGGCAUUUUGUCAUCUUUCAGCCUACGUGAGCAUCCCCCUGCGCAGCUGUGUGCAAUGUGAAACCAGAAGGAUGCUGUGUUCCCACCUGCAAUUCCCCGGAGAGUAAUGCUUCUCUGUAAUAAAGCUCAGCUGCUCUGGGUCAGCAGAACUUCAGUGGGAUUUGUUUUUGAAGCCAGAAGACCCGUGCUGUGGUUCCAGCUCACAAACAUUAAAGAUUGCACUCACAUAAACCUUUGCUUUCUGUGGCAGUUUCUCCAAUCGAUGCGGUGCUGAGCAUGCAGAGGGUGAGCGUACGACUUGUAUGUAAAUCACAAAAUCUUUUACAGUGCACAACAAAACCGGCUCAGAAGCAUGGAAGCUUUUGCAUUGGCCUCAGAAGGGUACAGCACAUGUGUAAGGCUGAGGCACAGACGCCUUGUUUAAUUAUGCGAUGGUUAAGAUCCAGAACAAGACCUGUAAGUGCCAACGUACUGCCAUUACAGCUGCAAAACCGUAGCAACGAAGAAGCAAGCAAUCCCUCUGCCUCCAUCUUAGAGAGAGAAGCAUGCUGAUGUCCUGCUGUGAAGCCUAUGGCAACGUGCAGACCCUC
rnacentral:lncRNA from 1 species